rfam:Equus caballus chromosome 20, whole genome shotgun sequence.
CCAAAGGCUCUUUUCAGAGCCACCUAAUUUCUCCCAAAAAGUGGCUG